CUCCAUCCUGCCACCAUGUGAAGAAGGUGCUUGCUUCUCCUUUGCCUUCUGCCAUGGUUGUAAGUUUCCUGAGGCCUCCCCAGCCAUGUGAACUGCUCAUAGGUGGAAGGGACUUACCUUGUAUCGGAAGAGACUUUGGACUUGGACUUUUGGAUUAAUGCCGGAAUGACCUAAGACUUUGGGGGACUGUUGGAGGGGCAUGAUUGUGUUUUGAAAUGUGAGGACAUGAGAUUUGGCAGGGGCCAAGGUCAAAUUGAUAUGGUUUGGCUCUGUUUCCCCACCCAAAUCUCACCUGGAAUUGUAAUAAUCUCCACAUGUCAUGGGAGGUACUCAGUGGGAGAUAAUUAAAUCACAGAGGCAGUUACCCCUAUGCUGUUCCUGUGAUAGUAAAUGAGUUCUCAUGAGAUCUGAUGGUUUAUAAGGAACAUUUCCCUCUUUGCUAGCACUUCUCUCUCCUGCUGCCAUGUGAAGAAGGACAUGUUUGCUUCCCCUUCUGCCAUGGUUGUAAGUUUCCUGAGGCCUCCCUAGCCAUGCUGAACUAUGAGUCAAUUAAACCUCUUUCCUUUAUAAAUUA